UUGAAACUUAGCAAACACCAUACUUCUAAAAUGUAAUGAUUUGACAAGCAUGGGAUAGACAUUCCCAUUCCAAAUGGAAAAAAAACAUAAGCUAGAAAGAGGUAGAAGGAGGAGGUGAGUUCCAAGCAAAGUAAACCUAGCCAGUCAAUCACCUUUGUGUCUGUGACACAUGAAUACCUCUCUUUGGUAUGAUGUCCUGCCUUCUGCAUCAUUUUGGAUUGUGAUGAUGCCUUUUAGGUCACAGGAAUGGUGGUCUGCUCCUUCAGUUCUGUCAAGCAAGAUUAUAUUCAAGACACCUGGGUCGAGAACUACACACAAGGUUCUUCUGUGGAGAGAUCUUGCCUUCCUGUUCAUAGUCACAGGGUUUUCAAAAAUCUAAUACGUGAUAAAACGGGCAAGCUAUGGAAGAUACAGCUGAAAGAGAUAGCACAGCAUGAUCAAGAGAUCUGUCAAAGGAGUCAGGUCCAGUUCCAGGCCAUGUGUGACCAUCACACAGUGGUGUCUCUCCUUUUUCUGAGGUUCAUUUGCCAAAUAUUUAUACUGGAACUAUGUCCCAGAAUUUAUAUCAGAAUUAAAUAGUGUGAGACUUAGAAACUACAUUGCACUCAGGGACCACUGAUUAUUAUUUUGG
rnacentral:lncRNA from 1 species